AGUUAGCCAGACGGUCGCAUCGCAAGAUGAGGAAAGUCCGAGCAUCACAGGGCGAGGGUGCAGGUUAACUGCCUGCGGAGGCGACUCCAGGGAAAGUGCAACAGAGAUAUACCGCAUACCUUUGGUAUGUAAGGGUGGAAAGGUAAGGUAAGAGCUUACCAGCUUGUCGGCGACGACAAUGGCUAUGUAAACCCCAUCCGAUGCAAGAGAACAGGGACUUCGGGCGGCCCGUCCGUUCCUGUAAAUCGCUUGAGCGUUAUGGCAACUUAACGCCUAGACAGAUGACCGUUUAAUACAGAACUCGGCUUACAGACUAAUC
rnacentral:RNase_P_RNA from 1 species